AACGAACGCUGGCGGCAGGCUUAACACAUGCAAGUCGAACGAUGUAGCAAUACAUAGUGGCGCACGGGUGAGUAACGCGUGGGAAUAUACCUUAUAGUGGGGAAUAACUUCGGGAAACUGAAGCUAAUACCGCAUACGCCCGAGAGGGGAAAGAUUUAUCGCUAUAAGAUUAGCCCGCGUGAGAUUAGGUAGUUGGUGGGGUAAUGGCCUACCAAGCCGACGAUCUCUAGCUGGUCUGAGAGGAUGAUCAGCCGCACUGGAACGGAGACACGGUCCAGACUCCUACGGGAGGCAGCAGUGGGGAAUAUUGGACAAUGGGCGAAAGCCUGAUCCAGCCAUGCCGCGUGAAUGAUGAAGGCCUUAGGGUUGUAAAGUUCUUUCGCCGAUGAAGAUAAUGACGGUAGUCGGAGAAGAAGCCCCGGCUAACUUCGUGCCAGCAGCCGCAGUAA
rnacentral:rRNA from 1 species